UACGGAGGGUGCAAGCGUUAUCCGGAUUCACUGGGUUUAAAGGGUGCGUAGGUGGGCAGGUAAGUCAGUGGUGAAAUCUCCGGGCUUAACUCGGAAACUGCCAUUGAUACUAUCUGUCUUGAAUACCGUGGAGGUUAGCGGAAUAUGUCAUGUAGCGGUGAAAUGCUUAGAUAUGACAUAGAACACCAAUUGCGAAGGCAGCUGGCUACACGAAUAUUGACACCUGAUGCACGAAAGCGUGGGGGAUCAAAACAGG
rnacentral:rRNA from 1 species